rnacentral:rRNA from 1 species
AUUGAACGCUGGCGGCAUGCCUUACACAUGCAAGUCGAACGGCAGCAUGAUCUCGCUUGCUAGAUUGAUGGCGAGUGGCGAACGGGUGAGUCAUACAUCGGAACGUGCCCUGUAGUGGGGGAUAACUAGUCGAAAGAUUAGCUAAUACCGCAUACGACCUGAGGGUGAAAGUGGGGGACCGCAAGGCCUCAUGCUAUAGGAGCGGCCGAUGUCUGAUUAGCUAGUUGGUGAGGUAAAGGCUCACCAAGGCGACGAUCAGUAGCUGGUCUGAGAGGACGACCAGCCACACUGGGACUGAGACACGGCCCAGACUCCUACGGGAGGCAGCAGUGGGGAAUUUUGGACAAUGGGCGAAAGCCUGAUCCAGCAAUGCCGCGUGUGUGAAGAAGGCCUUCGGGUUGUAAAGCACUUUUGUCCGGAAAGAAAUGGCUCUGGUUAAUACCUGGGGUCGAUGACGGUACCGGAAGAAUAAGGACCGGCUAACUACGUG